rnacentral:rRNA from 1 species
CAACAGUUGGAAACGACUGCUAAUACCGCAUGAUGCAUAAGGGUCGCAUGAUUCUUAUGCCAAAGAUUUAUCGCUUCAAGAUGGCCUCGCGUCUGAUUAGCUGGUUGGCGGGGUAACGGCCCACCAAGGCGACGAUCAGUAGCCGGACUGAGAGGUUGAACGGCCACAUUGGGACUGAGAUACGGCCCAGACUCCUACGGGAGGCAGCAGUGGGGAAUAUUGGGCAAUGGGCGCAAGCCUGACCCAGCAACGCCGCGUGAAGGAAGAAGGCUUUCGGGUUGUAAACUUCUUUUAAGAGGGAAGAGCAGAAGACGGUACCUCUAGAAUAAGCCACGGCUAACUACGUGCCAGCAGCCGCGGUAAUACGUAGGUGGCAAGCGUUGUCCGGAUUUACUGGGUGUAAAGGGCGUGCAGCCGGGUCUGCAAGUCAGAUGUGAAAUCCAUGGGCUCAACCCAUGAACUGCAUUUGAAACUGUAGAUCUUGAGUGUCGGAGGGGCAAUCGGAAUUCCUAGUGUAGUGGUGAAAUGCGUAGAUAUUAGGAGGAACACCAGUGGCGAAGGCGGAUUGCUGGACGAUAACUGACGGUGAGGCGCGAAAGUGUGGGGAGCAAACAGGAUUAGAUACCCUGGUAGUCCACACUGU